rnacentral:rRNA from 1 species
UAUUCCUACGGGAGGCAGCAGUGGGGAAUAUUGCGCAAUGGGCGAAAGCCUGACGCAGCGACGCCGCGUGAGGGAUGAAGGUCUUCGGAUCGUAAACCUCUGUCAGCAGGGAAGAACGGUCACUGUGCUAAUCAGCAGUGAAUUGACGGUACCUGCAAAGGAAGCACCGUCUAACUCCGUGCCAGCAGCCGCGGUAAUACGGAGGGUGCGAGCGUUACUCGGAAUUACUGGGCGUAAAGCGCUCGUCGGCGGUCUGUCACGUCAAGUGUGAAAUCCC